rnacentral:rRNA from 1 species
GAAACGACUGCUAAGACUGGAUAGGAAGAUAAAAGGCAUCUUUUAUCUUUUAAAAGACCUAGUAAUAGGUAUGCUUUAGGAGGGGCUUGCGCCAUAUUAGUUAGUUGGUAGGGUAAUGGCCUACCAAGACGAUGAUGUGUAGCUGGACUGAGAGGUUGAACAGCCACAUUGGGACUGAGACACGGCCCAAACUCCUACGGGAGGCAGCAGUAGGGAAUUUUCGGCAAUGGAGGAAACUCUGACCGAGCAACGCCGCGUGAAUGACGAAGUACUUCGGUAUGUAAAGUUCUUUUAUCAAGGAAGAAAAGCAAAUGGCGAACCAUUUGUUUGCCGGUACUUGAUGAAUAAGCCCCGGCUAAUUAUGUGCCAGCAGCCGCGGUAAGACAUAAGGGGCAAGUGUUAUCCGGAAUUAUUGGGCGUAAAGGGUGCGUAGGCGGUCUAGUAAGUCAGUGGUGUAAUGGCAACGCUUAACGUUGUCCGGCUAUUGAAACUGCUAAACUUGAGUUAGAUAGAGGCGAGUGGAAUUCCAUGUGUAGCGGUAAAAUGCGUAAAUAUAUGGAGGAACACCAGAGGCGUAGGCGGCUCGCUGGGUCUUAACUGACGCUGAGGCACGAAAGCGUGGGAGCAAACAGGAUUAGAUACCCUGGUAGUCCACGCCGUAAACGAUGAGUACUAAGUGUCGGGUUAAACCGGUACUGAAGUUAACACAUUAAGUACUCCGCCUGAGUAGUACGUACGCAAGUAUGAAACUUAAAGGAAUUGACGGGACUCCGCACAAGCGGUGGAUCAUGUUGUUUAAUUCGAAGAUACCCGAAAAACCUUACCAGGUCUUGACAUGUUUUUGCAAAAUGAUAGUAAUAUCGUGGAGGUUACCAGAAACACAGGUGGUGCAUGGUUGUCGUCAGCUCGUGUCGUGAGAUGUUAGGUUAAGUCCUAAAACGAGCGAGACCCUUAUCGUUAGUUGCCAGCACGUUAUGGUGGGGACUUUAACGAGACUGCCAAUGAUAAAUUGGAGGAAGGUGAGGAUCACGUCAAAUCAGCAUGCCCCUUAUGACCUGGGCUACAAACGUGAUACAAUGGCUGUUACAAAGGGUAGCUGAAACGCAAGUUCUUGGCCAAUCCCCAAAAACAGUCCCAGUCCGGAUUGAAGUCUGCAACUCGACUUCAUGAAGUUGGAAUCGCUAGUAAUCGCGAAUCAGCAUGUCGCGGUGAAUACGUUCUCGGGGUUUGUACACACCGCCCGUCA